rnacentral:rRNA from 1 species
UACUAGAGUAGCACUCGCAUAUCAAUAAGCGGAGGAAAAGAAACUAACAAGGAUUCCCCUAGUAACGGCGAGUGAAGCGGGAAGAGCUCAAAUUUGAAAUCUUAAAGGGUUUCCCUUUACGAAUUGUAGUUUAAAGAAGUGUUUUCUGUUGAGGUUUUGGUAAAAGUUCUUUGGAAUAGGACAUCAUAGAGGGUGAGAAUCCCGUAUUUGACCUUUACUUUCAACUUUGUGAUACACUUUCAAAGAGUCGGAUUGUUUGGGAAUGCAGUCCAAAAUGGGUGGUAAAUUUCAUCUAAAGCUAAAUAUUGGCGAGAGACCGAUAGCGAACAAGUACCGUGAGGGAAAGAUGAAAAGAACUUUGAAAAGAGAGUUAAACAGUACGUGAAAUUGUCAAAAGGGAAGCGUUUGACACCAGUGUUGUUUUUCUGAAAUAUCAAUUAAAGAACUGUUUAUGCUAAGCUGUUUAGACUUUAUCAGCUAUCUGUUUAGUUUUGAGCUUUUCUUUAAUGCACUUUUCAGUUAACAAGUCAACAUCAAUUUCUUUUGCUGUAAAAAAGCUUGAGGAAGGUGGCUUGAGAUUCGUCUUAAGUGUUUAUAGCCUCUUGCCUAUGCAGUCGGAGAGAUUGAGGUCUGCAGCGUAGAUCCUUCGGGGCUAAAUGCAUUUGUGCUAAGUUAUAGCAUUUUAUAGACAACUUGUUGACUAUGAUUUGUCUUGUAGCUUACUCGCUUAUGUUAUUUACCUACGCUUAGGAUGUUGAGCGCAUGUCUCUCUCU